CGUCCUCAUCCUCAUCAUCAUAAAGAAAUGGCGCUUUAGAUUAAAAAAAGAAUAAUUAAAUGUUUUUUAUACCUCUCCAGGUGGCGUUUUACAUAAUAAACAAUACUGUAUGCGGAGUUGAAAGACUUCGAAGAAGACUUUACAUUUAAUAAAAACAAUUGAGGUAGACGAUAAUACCACAUGUCAGGAAAGGAUAGCCGAACUCGAUGGUGAAAGAGCAAUUAUUAUUUAUAGAUAGACAAAUGUUAUCACUCAUCAAGCUUCUUU